AUCCAGCUGACGAGUCCCAAAUGGGACGAAACGCGCGUCCUGAAU
rfam:Schistosoma mansoni, Puerto Rico, WGS project CABG01000000 data, contig: 0010